GCAGCCGCGGUAAUACGUAGGUGGCAAGCGUUGUCCGGAAUUACUGGGUGUAAAGGGAGCGUAGGCGGGAAUGUAAGUUGAAUGUUUAAACUAUCGGCUCAACCGAUAAUCGCGUUCAAAACUGCGUUUCUUGAGUGAAGUAGAGGCAAGCGGAAUUCCUAGUGUAGCGGUGAAAUGCGUAGAUAUUAGGAGGAACACCAGUGGCGAAGGCGGCUUGCUGGGCUUUUACUGACGCUGAGGCUCGAAAGUGUGGGUAGCAAACAGGAUUAGAUACCCC
rnacentral:rRNA from 1 species